UAGGCCGUUGUCCUCAAAGGCGUUGAUCUGAUGCAGCGUGAACAUGGCAGCUGCACGGUACUUCACUUCACUCUCCUGUUUACAGACACUCUGAAGAGGAGAGCCUUUGGACUCUGGGACGGGUGCCAAGUUCAAGAGGUGAUCGCUCGACAUUAAAAAAAAAAAGGAAAAGGUACAUCAGUCACGUUAUCAAACAGCUGCUCAUAAAAAUGUCUCAAGACUCUUCCUACUGUUUCUCUUGUAUGGAUAAAAAUGUCAAGUUCCACCUGACUCUUUAUUGCUUCAAAAUGUUGCAGAAGGUCUUGCUGGUUGGUAGGAAGCUUUUAUUUCCGCAUUUUACUGGAACAAGUGAUCCUGCGAAUAAUUGGUGUCGACUUAA